rnacentral:rRNA from 1 species
CCCUUAGAUGUUCUGGGCCGCACGCGCGCUACACUGACGGAGUCAACGAGUUGUCCUGCAUCGGAAGGUGUGGGUAAUCUUUUGAAACUUCGUCGUGCUGGGGAUAGAUCUUUGCAAUUUUCGAUCUUGAACGAGGAAUUCCUAGUAAGCGUGAUUCAUCAGAUCGCGUUGAUUACGUCCCUGCCCUUUGUACACACCGCCCGUCGCUACUACCGAUUGAAUGGUUUAGUGAGGCCUCGGGACUGGCGCGCUCGAGUAGCAAUACACCUGCGCGCCGGGAACUUGGUCAAACUUGAUCAUUUAGAGGAAGGAGAAGUCGUAACA